ACCAACUCCUACGGGAGGCAGCAGUGGGGAAUAUUGGACAAUGGGCGCAAGCCUGAUCCAGCCACGCCGCGUGAGUGAUGAAGGCCUUCGGGUCGUAAAGCUCUGUGGGGAGGGACGAACCGCUGGGUAUUAAUACCAUCCAGCAUGACGGUACCUCCUUAGCAAGCACCGGCUAACUUCGUGCCAGCAGCCGCGGUAAUACGAAGGGUGCAAACGUUGCUCGGAAUUAUUGGGCGUAAAGCGCACGUAGGCGGCUCCGCAAGUCCGGAUGUGAAAGCCUUCGGUUUAACCGAAGGGAGUGCAUCCGAAACUGCAGAGCUUGAGUACUUAAGAGGAUCGGGAAUUCCCGGGUGUAGAGGUGAAAA
rnacentral:rRNA from 1 species